rnacentral:snRNA from 1 species
GUGCUCACUUCAGCAGCACAUACACUAAACAUUGGAACAGUACAGAGACCGGCAUGGCCCCUGUGCAAGGAUGACACGCAACUUCGUGAACUGCUCUAUAUUUCG